AGAUUGAUCCUGGCUCAGGACGAACGCUGGCGGCGUGCUUAACACAUGCAAGUCGAACGGAGUUUAAGAGGAAGCUUGCGAAUCUUAAACUUAGUGGCGGACGGGUGAGUAACGCGUGGAUAACCUGCCUGAAUGACUGGGACAACACCGGGAAACUGGUGCUAAUACCGGAUACGCUCAUCAUUGCGCAGGCAAAGGUGAGGAAAGGAGAAAUCCGCAUACAGAUGGGUCCGCGUCCCAUUAGCUAGUUGGCGGUGUAAGAGACCACCAAGGCGACGAUGGGUAGCCGGCCUGAGAGGGUGGACGGCCACACUGGAACUGAGACACGGUCCAGACUCCUACGGGAGGCAGCAGUGGGGAAUCUUCCGCAAUGGGCGAAAGCCUGACGGAGCAACGCCGCGUGAGUGAGGAAGGCCUUCGGGUCGUAAAACUCUGUCUUCAGGGAAGAAAAAAAUGACGGUACCUGAGGAGGAAGCCCCGGCUAACUACGUGCCAGCAGCCGCGGUAAAACGUAGGGGGCGAGCGUUGUCCGGAAUUACUGGGCGUAAAGGGCGCGUAGGCGGUUAUUUAAGUCAGAGGUGAAAACUACCGGCUCAACCGGUAGCCUGCCUUUGAAACUGGAUGACUUGAGGGCAGGAGAGGGGAGUGGAAUUCCCAGUGUAGCGGUGAAAUGCGUAGAUAUUGGGAGGAACACCAGUGGCGAAGGCGGCUCUCUGGCCUGUUUCUGACGCUGAGGCGCGAAAGCGUGGGGAGCAAACGGGAUUAGAUACCCCGGUAGUCCACGCCGUAAACGAUGGGUGCUAGGUGUAGGAGGUAUCGA
rnacentral:rRNA from 1 species